GUCUAUGGAGAGCAGGAGGGAACAUGUUUAGAGAACUCCUUGAACCAAAUUUAGGCACUGUGCUGUAUGUAUAGUUUAAUCUGCAGUAUUUCUUAACUGAUCAAAUUAUUGCAAAUACAAUUCAAUGAAAAUAAAAUGACCUGCUUUGUUUAAAUAAUUAUCUUAUAUGUUUCUUGAGAAAUAUAAAGUUAGUUUUCAUUGAAAUAUGUAUUUGAAGACAACGCUUAUAUGGUUUCAAGGUGCACUCAGUAAUAAUAAUAAUAAAAAGAUUUACCCCUUAAGAAAUAAACAUUAAAAUCAAGGUUGCUUACAUGAGAUGAAUAAUCUAAUCAUAUCAGUAUCCUAAAAGUAGUUUUAUUUUCCAUGGAGCUGGGCUGCCUCAUGGGGUCCCCUCAUCUUGAGAUCACAUGACCCACUAGUAGAUUAGUAUCACUGAAUGGCUGGAUGUCUGAGUGGUGUCUGGAGAAUAACAUAGGAUUUACAGACAAUUGGAAGAGUUUCUGGGGUAGAUCUGACCUGCCAAAGAGAGACAGACUCCAUCCCUCCAGGGAAGGUGCCGCUCUCCUCUCUAGUAAUUUGGCUCAUACAGUGCAUCCGGAAAGUAUUCACAGCGCUUCACUUUUUCCAAAUUUUUUUAUGUUCACAGACAUUCACAGAGUUGUCCCGGAGCCACUCCUUUGUUAUCUUGGCUGUGUGCUUAGGGUCGUUGUCCUGUUGGAAGAUGAACCUUCAUCCCAGUCUGAGGUCCAAAGUGCUCUGGAGCAGGUUUUCAUCAAGGAUGUCUCUGUACAUUGCUGCAUUCAUCUUUCCCUCGAUCCUGACUAGUCUCCCAGUUCCUGCCGCUGAAAAACAUCCCCAUAGCAUGAUGCUGCCACCACCAUUCUUCACUGUAGGGAUGGUAUUGGCCAGGUGAUGAGCGGUGCCUGGUUUCCUCCAGAUAUGACGCUUGCCAUUCAGGCCAAAGUGUUCAAUCUUUGUUUCUCAUGGUCUGGGAGUCCAUCAGGUGCCUUUUGGCAAACUCCAGGCGGGCUGUCAUGUGCCUUUUACUGAAGAGUGGCUUCUGUCUGGCCACUCUACCAUACAGGCCUGAUUGGUGGAGUGCUGAAGAGAUGGCUGUUCUUCUGGAAGGUUCUCCUCUCUCCACAGAGAAAUGCUGGAGCUCUGUCAGAGUGACCAUCGGGUUCUUGGUCACCUCCCUGACUAAGGCCCUUCUCCCCCGAUCGCUCAGUUUGGCCAGGCGGCCAGCUCUAGGAAGAGUCCUAGUGGUUCCAAACUUCUUCCAUUGACGGAUGAUGGAGGCCACUUUGCUCAUUGGGACUUUCAAUGCUGCAGAAAUUUUUCUGUACCCUUCCCCAGAUCUGUGCCUCGGUACAAUCCUGUCUCGGAGGUCUACAGACAAUUCCUUGGACUUCAUGGCUUGGUUUGUGCUCUGACAUGCACUGUUAACUGUGGGACCUUAUAUAGACAGGUGUGUGCCUUUCCAAAUCAUGUCCAAUCAACUGAAUUUACCACAGGUGGACUCCAAUCAAGUUGUAGAAACAUCAAGGAUGAUCAGUGGAAACAGGAUGCACCUGAGCUCAAUUUUGAGUGUCAUGGCAAAGGCUGUGAAUACUUAUGUACAUGUGAUUUUGUUUUCGUUUUUUAUUUUCAAACAAACUUCUUUCACGUUGUCAUUAAGGAAAAUAAUGAAUUUAAUCCAUUUUGGAAUAAAGCUGUGACAUAACAAAAUGUGGAAAAAGUGAAGCACUGUGAAUAUUUUCCAGAUGCACUGUAUGCAAUCAUCUGUCAUAGUACCUCAGAAAACAGUGUCUCAUAAUUUUCCUCACAUGCAACUUCAAUCAUUUGCUGUCAUAGGUCAUGAAGAGCUAACAAAACUUAGCGAAACAUCAAAAGCCACAACAUGUAUGUUAGAUCCAAUACCAACUAAGCUCUUAAAAGAGGUAUUCCCUGUAAUCUCAGAACCUCUUCUUAAUAUUAUUAACUCCUCGCUAUCCUUAGGACAUGUCCCAAGAAACUUUAAAACGGCAGUUAUCAAACCACUUAUUUAGAAGCCAUAACUUGCUCCUGGAGAACUGGCUAAUUGUAGACCGAUUUCAAAACUCCCAUUAAUGUCGAAAAUACUAGAAAAGGUAGUGUCCUCCCAACCAUGUUCAUUUCUACAGAGAAAUAGUAUAUAUGAACAAUUUCAGUCAGGACUUAGGCCCCAUCACAGUACAGAGACUGCACUUAACCAAGUUGCAAAUUACUUCAUCUUAUCAUCUGGUUCAAAAUGCAGCAGCCAGAGUGCUGACUAGAACCAAGAAAUAUUAUCAUAUUAGCCCCAUUUUAUCGUUGUUACAUUGGCUAUCUGUUAAAUUUCAUAUUAAUUUUAAUAUUCUGUUAACUGUUCGAGAUGCAGACACACUCACUCAGUCACCUCUUUCCUGGCACCCCCACUUUGGUGAGGAACAGGUUAAAUGACAUACCCAAAAUAAAAGGUUUACUGCUCAUGAGUCUCUCUGACUACACACAUAAUCAAGGUAUCUUUAGAAAGCUAACGCUUGAUUUUACAAUGAAAUCUUCAAAAUUACUCAAUCUGUUACUAACACAGAAAUAAAGAAGUGCAAACACAAAAGAAAAAAAAAGAAAAAAACUUACACUUAGAAUGAAAUAAAUACACAAUGCUGUGGUAUAGGUACCUAAAAACACAACAGGCUAAAGCCCUAAUUCUUACCAAUCUAUGUUUCAAAUUUGAAGGUGAUACUAGCAAAAGUUAGCUUUAUGUAAGCCUUUAUCUAAGUGCUUGUCUGGGUGUCUUUCUGAAAAGGCCAGCGUUGUCAAGGAGACUCAAAUAUCAGUAGCAGCUAUCAUUUGUCACAGCGAGCGCGCAGGUUUUAAUCUUCCAAUGAGAAGUACCCUAACUUAUGAAAUAACAUGAUAAUUUAUGCGAACUUUCAACACCCAUGUAUUGCCCUAUUCGUAAUUUCAUUGGUUACAUGUCCUCAUAAAUUACAACCCUCUAGAGUGCUAUUGGUAGAUUCUUUUAACCGAACAAAUUUGCCUAUGCAUGAACAGACGUCAUCAGAAACGGCUGUUCUCAUGCGCUAUUUUCUAAAACUAUGAAGCCAGUUUUAUUCAGAAAACAUCAGGGAUGCGAUACUUCUGUUCCAGACACUCUACUAAAUGCAUUUAUACAGUUUGUUUUAUCGAAGGGCACAUCAGACACACAUAGUUUGUCGAAUAAAAAGGAUGACGUCACCGUGUUUACCGGAUUUCAUGAUGUAAAAAAUGAAACUUCUAUGGAUUUUUCGCAUGUUUUUGGGCAAAAAUGUAUUAUGGAUAUCGUGUAAUGGACUAUUGCAGUCAAAACAGAUGGAUGGCAUCAUUGUUGGAUCAAACUCUACAUUGCCAUAACAAAAACAAGAACUGGCUGGAUCCAGCUCCAUUCCUGCUUCGUGUUGGUUCCACUGCUACGUGUCUCUGAGUGAUGAUGACUAAAUGCAGCCGAUGCCAGCCAAACAUCACUUCAGUCAAUUACGAUGGACUUCAGAGGAUGAACUGAUGCCAACUCCAACCAUAAGACAUGGGAUACAUCAUAUGCCAUUGCCAGAACCUUGGACUUAGGAUAGACCUCACCAAAAUUUCCGGCCGGUUGAACUGCAAUGUACCUCACUGAUCUCUGCCUGCAUCACCUCAGUCUAAUGAUGGACUACACUCUUAUAAUGGAAUACAUAGUCUAUCAAUUAAUUGCCAGCAAAAGCCUUCAUCAGCCAACUAACAAAGGACAAUGCAUCUAUGUGAACUUCUGCAGUUAAUCCAGGAUGAACUUCAAAGACAUUAGUCAUUAAUCUUACAGUUCUUACAAAAUCUUUGUUUAAACACUGACCCUUAACACUUACUUAGUUUAAUCAUUUUAAACCAUGACUUGCACUAUACAUAAUUAAGUAAUAUUGGCAUAAUAUUCAUGAUGAUAGCCAGAGGGGAACUAGCCCCACAGUGAGCCUGGUUUCUCCCAAGGUUAUUUUUCUCCAUUAACCAACAUCUUAUGGAGUUUUGUGUUCCUUGCCACAGUCACAUUCGGUUUGCUCACUGGGUUUCUAAAUACAAUUAUUAUUUAAUUACUUAUUUUUAAACACAAUUCACAAUCGUAUUUUAUCCAACUACACAAUGAUGACUCUAAGACAUUAUAGAUAUUACAGUUUCAUUUUCUGUUAAUGUAUGAUUUUCUGUAAAGUUGCUUUGAAACGAUGUGUGUUGUGAAAGGCGCUAUAUAAAUGAAAAUGACUCGACCCGCUGAAUUCUACACACUUCAUCGGACUCUCACAGAAUUAACAAUUUGACAUUGAAUAUCACAUUUCCACAAUGGCAUCAGUAACCAUAAACUACUGCUUUUGCAUGUGCUGUAUCUAAGCCACUAGGUCAGUACAAGUCUACGACGACUGGCAUGUCAGCCAGUGCAAUACAAACAAAACAUUUCCUAAUUGGCUACUAAACUAUGGAACAGCCUACCUAGCAUUGUUUGGGACUCAGACACACUUUGCUCAGUUUAAGUCUAGACUAAAGACUCAUCUCUUCAGCCAGGCAUACACCUAAUUUAUCCCUCAACCCUGCAUUGGUCAGGUCUGCCGGAAACAGAAACACUUGACAUGUCGUUUCCUAUAAUUCUGUGUUAAAGUGAAUGGCAUCUAUGCCAAUAUUAUUCUAUUUGUUUCCCUGCCUCAUUACCAGAGCCUGCCAGAUCCAGCUCUGGUCCAGCCUGAUGUCUCACUCCCACCGCUAUGUGUUGCUGAACAAUGACUAUUAACUGCAGCCUGUGUCAAUCAGACAGAGAGGGGCGCUUCGAUGAUCACUGUCUGCAUCCCUUCAGACUACUACAAUGGACUUUACAGAGGACGAACUGCUGCCAACUCCAACUGCAAAAUAAAGGAUUCUUCACUGACCACUUCCAGCACCUCGGAUUUAGGAUGGACUUUACCGAAAACUGACUGCCACAAGCUUCCAGCCGGAUUGUGAGGCACACCUCACUUGCCUAUGCCUGCAUCAUCCUGGUCACAGGAUGGACUCUACACUCUCUUAAACUGCAAUACAUAGACAAUAACUUAAUGUCAACUAAAGCCUUCAUCUGCCAAAUAAAAAAAGGACACUGCA